AGUUCAUCCUACUCAGCCAAGUUCGACAAAUCAUCAGGUUCAAGGUAGUGAACAAGACAGUAUUAAAAUGAAACGGCUUCGAAACAAUAUACACAGUAUUGUGAAAAGUGCUAUACAAAUUAACUUGAAUUUAAUUGAAGAAUAUGAAAAUGUUCAAAAACAACAUUUCUAGCUGCUAACAGGUCAAACUGAACAGUCUGUACAAACACAAUUUGAAUGAAUAUGCAUUCUUUGUGGUGUUUACAGUUCCUUCUACCUCAACAUUCCAGCCACAGCAACAUCGCUCCAGUUCCACAACUCAGCAGGUUCAAGAAAUGUCCAAGUUAUUUGAAGGUUUGGAGAGGAGAAUAUGUCUGAAACUGGAACAAAUCCAUGCUGAUAUUAAAACAGCACUGGGAACAAUCCAGCAAUCAGUGAGCCGGCCCAGCGCGUCUGCCUCCGACCUAACUGAGAUUCGAUACCUUUGUCUUCAGAGUGGAGCCAGUUUGGGGGAUGGCAUAAGGAGAAUGCUCCGCAAAAUUGGACAUAAUGCCUUAUGGGCCAAUUACAGCUACAAAGGGAGAAAAGAGAAACGACCAUUUCAGCCUCUGCUGAUUAAUGAUGUAA